UACACUCCUGCGGGAGGCAGCAGUGGGGAAUUUUGGACAAUGGGCGAAAGCCUGAUCCAGCAAUGCCGCGUGAGUGAAGAAGGCCUUCGGGUUGUAAAGCUCUUUUGUCAGGGAAGAAACGGUGAGAGCUAAUAUCUCUUGCUAAUGACGGUACCUGAAGAAUAAGCACCGGCUAACUACGUGCCAGCAGCCGCGGUAAUACGUAGGGUGCAAGCGUUAAUCGGAAUUACUGGGCGUAAAGCGUGCGCAGGCGGUUUUGUAAGUCUGAUGUGAAAUCCCCGGGCUCAACCUGGGAAUUGCAUUGGAGACUGCAAGGCUAGAAUCUGGCAGAGGGGUGUAGAAUUCCACGUGUAGCAGUGAAAUGCGUAGAUAUGUGGAGGAACACCGAUGGCGAAGGCAGCCCCCUGGGUCAAGAUUGACGCUCAUGCACGAAAGCGUGGGGAGCAAACAGGAUUAGAUACCCCUGUAGUCCCAUGAU
rnacentral:rRNA from 1 species